CAUGGCUCAGGAUGAACGCUGGCGGCGUGCCUAAUACAUGCAAGUAGAACGCUGAAGGAGGAGCUUGCUCUUUCCGGAUGAGUUGCGAACGGGUGAGUAACGCGUAGGUAACCUGCCCGGUAGCGGGGGAUAACUAUUGGAAACGAUAUCUAAUACCGCAUAAUAGUAGAUAUCGCAUGAUAACUGCUUAAAAGGUGCGAUUGCAUCACUCAGAUGGACCUGCGUUGUAUUAGCUAGUUGGUGAGGUAACGGCUCACCAAGGCAACGAUACAUAGCCGACCUGAGAGGGUGAUCGGCCACACUGGUACUGAGACACGGCCCAGACUCCUACGG
rnacentral:rRNA from 1 species